CGACUUCUCUGAAAGUGUCGGUGUCAGUGUGGACAAAUGUGGUGACGGGCUUGCAAGUUGCAACGUUCUGACUUCCUUGGUUAUUCAUUUAAGGAAUCACAAGAAAUGAUGAUAAAGAAAAGACCAGAGACUUUUGAUCAAAAAAAAGGAAAAAAGAAAAGACCAGAGACAUACCUGAAAGAGCAAGCCAGAGGCAGCAGGUGAAUGUGAAUCCUAGUUUCUGAACCCAACAAACAAGAAACUUAAAAGAAGAAGAAGACAACAAGAGGAAGAGAGAGAGAGAACUAAAAAGAAGGUAUAAAGACUGUUGUUGUUGGUCUAAUGGUCACAGCUCAGAACUUGUUCAUAUACCAGAAAAGAGAAACGAGGAAAAGCAGGAGAAGAAUAUGGAGGAAAUUGAAAAAGACUCUUUUAUCCCUUUAUUGUUAACCGUUUAUUUUUUUGGUUUAAGUUUUUGUCACUUUCUUUUUCUUUUGUUAAUAGAAAUUUGUUGUUUGGUCAAACAUCAGAAAGAAUGACAAUCUGUGAUGAGUUAUUUCA